AUAGAAUACAAAAGAUGACCUAAAAAAGUAUAAUUACUGGAUUAAUUGGUGGGAGAGUGAGAGAGGAAAUGAAGAAGAAAAGAAAAGACAAGAGAUAUAUUCUAAGUACUGAGGAAUCUUGAUGGAUGGAUUGAUUUUACAAAGCUAAGGAAAAAAUGACGGAGAGAUGUUUCUGAGAAAAGUUUAAGGAGACAAAACUUAUGAUGAGAUUUAGAAACCUUAAAAUUCACAACAACAAGAGAAGAGAGAGAUGAAACAUCGUGUUAUUUUUAAAUAUCCUAACCGCUCAUGCUAAUAUUUUUAUAAUUUUUUUUCGUAAUUGAUAGAGAAUUUGAAAAGUGUCAAUUGAUAAGUUGGUAGAAGACCAAUUCAAUUUUGAUUAGGGAAAAAAACAAAAUUUAGAUUUUUAGAAGAAAAAAGACUUAUUUUUAGAUAUUUGUUUCAUAUUUUUAACUGAUUAUUCUUCAAAUUUACUAGGUCUUGAUCAAUUUAACAUAGAUAUUUAGAAUCUAAAAAAGAAGAAAAACACUUAGGUAUUUUACAUCAACGGUUCAGAAUUUUAAAUUCAUAAUGAGAAAUUAGCAUUUUACAUUUGCGAAGUAUAUAUAAAACGAUCAGUGAGUAUUCUUUUUUUUUUUUCAAAUUUAAACUUGGUACAAUGUAAUGAGUUAAGAUUGUUAGUUGAUGAUAACAAAGGAAAAUUACUUAAAAUAGAUUAAAAAAAAUAACAAUAAGAUUUAACAUCUAAUAUAUCUAUAUUUUUUUUAGUAUUUAAUCAUAACAGAAAAUCAAAAUAUAAACAUUGGCAGAAAAAUGAGUUAUUUUUAGAUUUUGUUAAUAUUAUUAACUGAUUAUUAUUCAAAUUUACUUGGUCUUGAUUAAUUGAAUUUACACAUUUAGAAUUUUAAAAAUUAAUAUAAAAAUGUAGCAUAUUCUUAAGUAUUUUACAUCAAAUUUUCAUAAUUUAAAUACACAUAAUGAAAAAUAGCAUUUAACAUUUGUGUGGUUCAUACAAAACGAUCAUUGAGCGUUCAUUUUUAACUUCACUGUUUCAACUUUCAAGUAUGAUACAAUGUAAUUAGUGAAUAUUUAAGUGAUAAUAAAAGAGUAUAUAAGAGUCUUUAUUUUUAUUUUUUUUGGGCAAUAUUAGAGUCUUUAUAUAUUUCAUUGAUUUAAAAUUGAUACAAUGUAAUGAGUGAAGAAUUAGGUGAUAAUAACAAAAGAAAUUAUAUCUUGAAUUUUACUUGAAUGGGUAACAAAAAUAUAUUUAUUUGUUCUCUAAAUGAACUAUAUUAUAUAGUAUUUUACUUUAUUUUUCAAAUAAAUAAUGGGAAUUAAGCUUUUGGAAAUUUAUGAAAAUUCAAAAAAAAAAUAGAACAAAACAAAGUGAUAAGUGAUUUUGUGAGUAAAGUGAUAAGUUACUUUUGGGCAGCUCUAAAUACUUCGUACAUUUAAACUUGUAAAUGGUAAUAUAUAAUAAUCUGUGAACGCUUACCUUUUACAAACUUUAAAUACUUCACUGAUUUACACAUGAACAUACAACGCAGGUCUUUAACGAGUAUCUUAGAAAUAAAAGAAAAAUAAAUUAAUUAAUAAUCAAUAUUAAGCUAAGAUAUAUUUCUUUGUUAAGAAGUUUUGAGGUAGUCUUUUAGUGAUACGCAGUCUUUUAGUCAUAUGUGUCAGGUACAAGAGAGUUUAAGAAGAAAAGAACAAAACUUG
rnacentral:lncRNA from 1 species